GCAAGGUUAACCGAAUAGGGGAGCCGAAGGGAAACCGAGUCUUAACUGGGCGUUAAGUUGCAGGGUAUAGACCCGAAACCCGGUGAUCUAGCCAUGGGCAGGUUGAAGGUUGGGUAACACUAACUGGAGGACCGAACCGACUAAUGUUGAAAAAUUAGCGGAUGACUUGUGGCUGGGGGUGAAAGGCCAAUCAAACCGGGAGAUAGCUGGUUCUCCCCGAAAGCUAUUUAGGUAGCGCCUCGUGAAUUCAUCUCCGGGGGUAGAGCACUGUUUCGGCAAGGGGGUCAUCCCGACUUACCAACCCGAUGCAAACUGCGAAUACCGGAGAAUGUUAUCACGGGAGACACACGGCGGGUGCUAACGUCCGUCGUGAAGAGGGAAACAACCCAGACCGCCAGCUAAGGUCCCAAAGUCAUGGUUAAGUGGGAAACGAUGUGGGAAGGCCCAGACAGCCAGGAUGUUGGCUUAGAAGCAGCCAUCAUUUAAAGAAAGCGUAAUAGCUCACUGGUCGAGUCGGCCUGCGCGGAAGAUGUAACGGGGCUAAACCAUGCACCGAAGCUGCGGCAGCGACACUGUGUGUUGUUGGGUAGGGGAGCGUUCUGUAAGCCUGUGAAGGUGUACUGUAAGGUAUGCUGGAGGUAUCAGAAGUGCGAAUGCUGACAUAAGUAACGAUAAAGCGGGUGAAAAGCCCGCUCGCCGGAAGACCAAGGGUUCCUGUCCAACGUUAAUCGGGGCAGGGUGAGUCGACCCCUAAGGCGAGGCCGAAAGGCGUAGUCGAUGGGAAACAGGUUAAUAUUCCUGUACUUGGUGUUACUGCGAAGGGGGGACGGAGAAGGCUAUGUUGGCCGGGCGACGGUUGUCCCGGUUUAAGCGUGUAGGCUGGUUUUCCAGGCAAAUCCGGAAAAUCAAGGCUGAGGCGUGAUGACGAGGCACUACGGUGCUGAAGCAACAAAUGCCCUGCUUCCAGGAAAAGCCUCUAAGCAUCAGGUAACAUCAAAUCGUACCCCAAACCGACACAGGUGGUCAGGUAGAGAAUACCAAGGCGCUUGAGAGAACUCGGGUGAAGGAACUAGGCAAAAUGGUGCCGUAACUUCGGGAGAAGGCACGCUGAUAUGUAGGUGAAGUCCCUCGCGGAUGGAGCUGAAAUCAGUCGAAGAUACCAGCUGGCUGCAACUGUUUAUUAAAAACACAGCACUGUGCAAACACGAAAGUGGACGUAUACGGUGUGACGCCUGCCCGGUGCCGGAAGGUUAAUUGAUGGGGUCAGCGCAAGCGAAGCUCUUGAUCGAAGCCCCGGUAAACGGCGGCCGUAACUAUAACGGUCCUAAGGUAGCGAAAUUCCUUGUCGGGUAAGUUCCGACCUGCACGAAUGGCGUAAUGAUGGCCAGGCUGUCUCCACCCGAGACUCAGUGAAAUUGAACUCGCUGUGAAGAUGCAGUGUACCCGCGGCAAGACGGAAAGACCCCGUGAACCUUUACUAUAGCUUGACACUGAACAUUGAGCCUUGAUGUGUAGGAUAGGUGGGAGGCUUUGAAGUGUGGACGCCAGUCUGCAUGGAGCCGACCUUGAAAUACCACCCUUUAAUGUUUGAUGUUCUAACGUGGACCCGUGAUCCGGGUUGCGGACAGUGUCUGGUGGGUAGUUUGACUGGGGCGGUCUCCUCCUAAAGAGUAACGGAGGAGCACGAAGGUUGGCUAAUCCUGGUCGGACAUCAGGAGGUUAGUGCAAUGGCAUAAGCCAGCUUGACUGCGAGCGUGACGGCGCGAGCAGGUGCGAAAGCAGGUCAUAGUGAUCCGGUGGUUCUGAAUGGAAGGGCCAUCGCUCAACGGAUAAAAGGUACUCCGGGGAUAACAGGCUGAUACCGCCCAAGAGUUCAUAUCGACGGCGGUGUUUGGCACCUCGAUGUCGGCUCAUCACAUCCUGGGGCUGAAGUAGGUCCCAAGGGUAUGGCUGUUCGCCAUUUAAAGUGGUACGCGAGCUGGGUUUAGAACGUCGUGAGACAGUUCGGUCCCUAUCUGCCGUGGGCGCUGGAGAACUGAGGGGGGCUGCUCCUAGUACGAGAGGACCGGAGUGGACGCAUCACUGGUGUUCGGGUUGUCAUGCCAAUGGCACUGCCCGGUAGCUAAAUGCGGAAGAGAUAAGUGCUGAAAGCAUCUAAGCACGAAACUUGCCCCGAGAUGAGUUCUCCCUGACCCUUUAAGGGUCCUGAAGGAACGUUGAAGACGACGACGUUGAUAGGCCGGGUGUGUAAGCGCAGCGAUGCGUUGAGCUAACCGGUACUAAUGAACCGUGAGGCUUAACCUUACAACGCCGAAGGUGUUU
rnacentral:rRNA from 1 species